CACGCCUUCUCCAAUCCUCCUCUUUGGGGACGCUCCGGGACGGGCACCCGGGGGCUUCAGGGGACGAGCGCUCCUAGGGCAAGGCGGAGGCAGCCCGGUCUGAUGGUCUGAUGCCAGUGAAGUGACGCCUCAUUCCGGUUGUGUUUGAAGAAUUGCUGGGGCUGUCGUGACAACUGAGGGCAAAGAAGGGAAAACAGAAGCAAAGAAAACCAUCUCAAAAGUCUUGGGAUUUGCUGCUGUUAAAAGGCUGCUGUUCAUUUCUGAUUUCCUCAUCUUUUGCUACAAAGAAAAAAUAAAUCUAAUGAUGUGUCUACAUUCAAUGAGAAGAAAACACUAACAACAGUGAAGGUUCGAACGUCAUUGUGUGGAGAGGGCAGGAGUGAAUUAGGGCCCCGGGGACCGCGUACACGGGAAAACAAGCUGAAUUGGUACUCACCUGGAUGAAGGAUUUGAAGGCAGGCAGGCCCACAAGCCAGCAGGAAACUGUUGUCUUUCCAACUCCAUCUUUAGGCACAAAUGGUCAGCUGAGUGGCAUCAUUAACAGAAGCAGCUAUUUUAGAAGCUCUACUUCUGGAAGUGGAGUAAAAAGGAGGCGUAACCCGGAGUUUAAGAUACCCACUGAUAAUGAGGGUAUUUGAGUGAUGGUAAUUGGCAAGGAGAAAGACUUAAAGAUCUAUCUGGAGACCAACCCUCACACUCCAGGCAUGCUGCCAGAUAAAGACUAAAAACAGCAUGUAAGAUGGCAAGAAAAAUAUGCUCUUGGUUUCUUCAUUGCCAUAAAAGCCACUGGGAAGAGCUUAAAGAGAUAUGCCAUUCCUGAAUAGUAACAUGAGACUUCUUGUUCUAUGACUUGUGUGAAAACUUCUGCCCUUCCAGACUGGAGACAAGGAAUAUCAUUUUCAACAAAGUGCAACCCUUUGGUCUAUCUACUCAUCAUCAAAAAAAGGGUACAGUAAGUAAAGCUGCAGAAUGAUCAUCCAUUUACAUUCAGUGCUGCUCUUGGAACCAGAUCAGUAACUCAACAAUAUUGCUUCUUUCUUUUAGACUAAGGUAAUGGAACCUCUUUAACCUUGAGGAUGACAAUUUGAUUUUUGCACACCACACAAGAUUUGGUAGUACACGACAAGCUUACAGAAUGUAGCCACAGCUUCUUGCUCUGGGAAAUGUGGAUCAAUUUAAUUAUUAAAACCAGUUUGAUGUUGGGGCCCUUGUGAGCAGAAUCUUUAAGAUGACCUGAGCCAAUCCACACUCCAUUAUUUCACGGACACUUAACAUGUUCUUUGUAGCUAUCAAGCUGUAUCUCCCCAAAUCCAAGACAAUUGAGUAAAUUACAUCAGUUCAGUCAGUGAAUAAAUCAGUGAAAAUGGUUGCAUGACUGAACCGACAAGUCAUUUGACACAUUGUAAACUGAAACACUGAAGGAAAUUGGAAGAACUGAGAUUGUGUUGUCCCCUGAGUCACUUAAAAUCUCUGAGUGUGUUUCGUUUUCUGUAAAAUGGGUGUGUUAAUACUUUGCCCAGAUGGGUUGUGGUGAAGGUUAGAAAUAAUGCAUGUAAAGUAUCUGACAUGUAGCAGACCCUUGAUAAAUGGUUGCUGUAAUUAUUAUUAUUAUGAAAAGUUUGAGUUACUUUGAAGAAAUUAAGCAAUUAGUUACUGGUUGAUGUAGAUUUAAAAAAAAACUUCUAUCUAGUACUGUUUUAUUAAUCAAUUAGGUAUAAUGGCAAAAGGCAGUUUAAAGCUGGAUUAACCCAGGUUGUCAAGCAGCUUAAAUAGCAAGCCAGCCAUUUAUUUUAGUUUAUUAUUUAUCUGCCUUCACUGUUAAUAACCAAGCCCCUUAGUUUCAGCUGUUCUAUGGAAUAUUCUUUUAGUAAAUAGCUGAUCUAAUUGGUAUCUUGUUAAUAGGAAAAACUGAGUAAGAGAAUAAUAGUGAUUGCUUGAAGAAGGAGGAAGCUGUUGCUUCUAGUUCAACAUUUUACGAAAUGGACUGCAAAUAGAAUAAAAGCAGUAUUCUCAUAUGGUGGAAUCCCUGAUACAUUAAGAAUACCAGCAGUAUACAGGCUGUAAGCAAAAAGGCAAUAAAUAUGUCAAAAGAAACUUUAGAAAUGAUUUUUUUGUAAGCCAAGAAAAUUGUCAAUUAACUUGGAGAUUAUAUGUGUACUAAUGUACUUGUAUUCCUCACCUUCUGAUCUUGAUUAGUUUUUCAGUGCUAUUGGCAUCUCUAAGGUUGCAAUU